rnacentral:misc_RNA from 1 species
GAAGAAAUGAUUCCAGUACUUGACUGGUACUUUAUUUAUCGAUUCUGAAAGGACGGAAACCAAAGCUGGCAUCUGCAUGAUAUGAACUCAGAGUGUAAGAGAAGCCUCACUCUUCCACAACUUUAACAAGUCUGCCAAGUCACCCUCCUCUUAUAAUGUGGACAAGGAUAAAGUACUAUUGAAGGGAGAUAACUCCAAAUGAAUUUAUUAAGGAAUCUGUUUCUUGAUUAAGUUUGGCAUUUAACAUUGAUCGGAUAAAGUUGAAUACUUGAAUAGAGAAAUGUUAAGUGUUUAGUGGCAACGGAACAGGAAAGCAUGUUAUGGAACUGUUAACGAUAAAUAAGCAUGCAUGUGGGUUUCUUUUUAAAUUGAUCAGGAUGCGUUAUAUCGGUUGGCCAGUCAUGUAUUGUUCCAGUUUAGGUGCGAAAGGGCCUCCGCCGAUCAGGCUUGAUCUUGUAUCCGCACCUAUAAUGUUGGGGUGGAAGACCAGCAGUUAACCCGUGUAUGCAGAUCUCCCUUCUCCAAGACAAUCCAGUAUAAUCGCUGGUACUGCCGUUAGAACGCAAAGGGAUGAAACAGUUAUCCCAAAGUAUCCACUAACGGUUCGUCCAACUCACCGCCCUGGGCUGCUAUUUUUCUUUAUCGAUCUCGAAAGGAUGAAAAUUCAGAGACAAAGCACAGCCUGAAACAAAUACCGCAACGCAUUCUAUCCAACACUAAUGACCCAAGAAUAUAAAGAUGGCUGCGUUCGAAGUCAGGUGAAGCAUUAAGUAAACUAAAAUACUGGAAAUAUCACUAUAAGAAGAAUUUAAGAGAACAAAAUGAAUUUGAUUGGCUGCUA